rnacentral:rRNA from 1 species
GAUGAACGCUGGCGGCGUGCCUAAUACAUGCAAGUAGAACGCUGAAGCUUGGUGUUUGCACCGAGCGGAUGAGUUGCGAACGGGUGAGUAACGCGUAGGUAACCUGCCUCUUAGCGGGGGAUAACUAUUGGAAACGAUAGCUAAUACCGCAUAAAAGUCGAUAUCGCAUGAUAUUGAUUUGAAAGGUGCAAUUGCAUCACUAAGAGAUGGACCUGCGUUGUAUUAGCUAGUUGGUGAGGUAACGGCUCACCAAGGCAACGAUACAUAGCCGACCUGAGAGGGUGAUCGGCCACACUGGGACUGAGACACGGCCCAGACUCCUACGGGAGGCAGCAGUAGGGAAUCUUCGGCAAUGGGGGCAACCCUGACCGAGCAACGCCGCGUGAGUGAAGAAGGUUUUCGGAUCGUAAAGCUCUGUUGUAAGAGAAGAACGAGUGUGAGAGUGGAAAGUUCACACUGUGACGGUAACUUACCAGAAAGGGACGGCUAACUACGUG